AGAGAACUAGAGGCUGCAGCGGCAGCAGUUGGAGCAUCUCACUGCGGGGCUCGGGAAGGAGGAAAGGAGUGAGCAUGUCCUGCUCCUGCAUGUCCCUGCUUAAGCUCAGGACUGGCCCUUCCAGGCCAAGGACCCCAGCAUAGACCCCAGGACAGGGCCCCAAGGAUCCCUGGCUCAUGAGAGCGGCUUGCUGGGCUGCCCCAAGAGAGCCUGAAGGAAACACAUUGUUGAGCUGAGCUGACGUCGCUGUUUCUUCCAGACUGCUCUCUAAAGUGGGCAGGGUAGCGACCGGCCGGCUCCGAUGGUGACGUCCCACUGCCAAGGGGUGGGAGUGGGGAGAGUCUCCACAGAGCUUCGGAGAAGCUGCUAAGAUGGAAAAGUGGAAACUUGGCAGACAGAUCCAGCCUCCCUGGCCACUGGCCCAUGCUCGUGGCUCCUGGAUGGCGCUGCCACGUUCUGAGCAGCUUGGGACAGGUGGAGAUCAGGACUGGCAGCUGCAAGGACACACCAGGUGAAUAGGUUUCUUUAUGGUCCUCACACCUGCAGAAAACCAGGAGGAGCCACAGAAACUAAAGAGAAUUUC
ensembl:lncRNA C1QTNF1-AS1 C1QTNF1 antisense RNA 1